rnacentral:lncRNA from 1 species
AGUGGAAGAUGGCAAGGCUUCCUCUAACGCAACUGGAAGACACUGGCUCCAGCCACUGGGGGUUGAGGGGUACGGUUCGGGGACAGAGCUGUGCUGCACCAUCCAUGUCCCCAGACCCUUGUUUUGCACCUCCACAGCCUGGAGGGAGGAACUACUGAGACCCUUACUCAGUUUCCUUCAAGCUGAGAACAGCUCCAUCAAACUACUGGGCAACUUCUUCAGAGCUCAGAAGGGCACAAUGGACCAGGUCAAGGCAAACCAGGCAAGGAGGAAGGAUGGAACCCUCCCCUUCACACACGGACUGAUUGUGUGCUCUGGUCAUGGAACAUGACCUCUUGGCUGCCAGACAUGGAUCAAAAGGCAAACCAGUCAUUUUUCUUUAACCUUCUUUCUUUGUGUCUCCCUUAGUCCCCUCCUCCCAUCACCCACUUUCCAAAAAAAAAAGCCAAUUUCCAUCCCAUGGCAGGCCUUGGUGGGGAG